rnacentral:rRNA from 1 species
CCUACGGGGGGCAGCAGUGGGGAAUAUUGCGCAAUGGGCGAAAGCCUGACGCAGCGACGCCGCGUGAGGGAUGAAGGUCUUCGGAUAGUAAACCUCUGUCAGCAGGGAAGAACGGUCACUGUGCUAAUCAGCAGUGAAUGGACGGUACCGGCAAAGGAAGCACCGGCUAACUCCGAGCAAGCAGCCGCGGUAAGACGGAGGGGGCGAGCGUUAAUCGGAAUUACUGGGCGUAAAGAGCGCGUAGGCGGUAUGUCCAGUCAAGGGUGAAAUCCCCGCGCGCCACGUGGGAACUGCCUUUGAAACUGGCAACCUGGAGUGUGUGAGCGUUUAGUGGAAUUCCAGGUGU